AAUGAGCAAUGUCACCACUCUCCAUAACAUAUUCUUUUCCUUUGGUAAGGUACUUACCGGCAGCCCGGCAUGCAUUUUCAGUCUUAUAAUCAAACAAAUCUUGAUAAUGCAUAAUUUCACCGACAACGAAUGCUUUUUCAAAAUCAGUGUGAAUUACACCAGCAGCCUGGGGAGCCUUAGUACCUUUACGAAUAGUCCAAGAGCGAACUUCGUCUUCACCACAAGUAAAAUAGUUAAUAAGAUUAAGUGCAUUGUAGCCAGUAACAAUGAUUUUA